GCAUCGGCCUCCAUCCCCUUCCCUCACCGCCGCCGUCCCCUUGCCCCGCCUCCCCCUUGCCCCGCCUCCCCCUGUUCCUUCGCCGAGCCCCCCUCCCUUGCGACAUUCUCCACGCGUCUGGGCCGCACACUGCGUCUUCGCCAUCCUCCUCGCGUCGGGGACGCACAUCGCGUCGUUGCCAUCCUCCUUGCGUCGGGGAAGGUGCCGCCGCCGCCGUUCCUCCGCGCGACCUGAGAUGCCGAGGCCGCCAUUCUUCCUCCGCACAGCCAGGGACGACGCAAGCACCGACGCCCCCGUCCUCAACUGCAUCAGUUCAGUAGAGAGAUUUGCAGGUGUAGUGAUAUAAGUACUGCUACAUGAGGGGAAAAGACCCUGCAAGACAAUGCAGUGAAAUAAAUGCAGGAUUCUUCUACUCAAACACUGAACAAGGAGAAAAUUAAAGAUGGUUUCUUCCGAGAGACGUCAAGUUGAUGAACAUGUCAAUAAGAUCAUCGAACUGAAAAAUAAGGUUCUAAGAAUUUUAUUCAUGGAUCAGGAAAUUCUAAUCUGUGACUUGAUCACGAAGAUAAAUUGAGGAUGAAUGGCUCAGAUGUUGAUUGCAAGGUUAAGAAUGGGGCUACUACAAGAUAAUUGGAAUGCCAUUUCAGGAUCAAAAAAAUUAGAAUGUCAUUUUUACGAUCAAUGUUUCAAACAUUAUAGUUGAUUGCAAGGUCAAGAAUUGGGCUGCUGAUAGAUGGUUUCACCUCUUGUAAUCUUUGGAUCAUGUUCUUUGUAAUACAACAUAGUCAAUUUAAUAAAUGAUAACAUUCUGUUUAUUA